GACGAACCGUGCGAACGUUGUUCGGAAUCACUGGGCUUAAAGGGCGCGUAGGCGGGCUGCCAAGUCUGGGGUGAAAUCCUUCGGCUCAACCGGAGAACGGCCUCGGAUACUGGCGGUCUUGAGGGAGGUAGGGGCGUGCGGAACUAAGGGUGGAGCGGUGAAAUGCGUUGAUAUCCUUAGGAACUCCGGUGGCGAAGGCGGCACGCUGGACCUUUUCUGACGCUGAGGUGCGAAAGCCAGGGGAGCAAACGGG
rnacentral:rRNA from 1 species